rnacentral:rRNA from 1 species
UACAGAGGGUGCGAGCGUUGUUCGGAAUUACUGGGCGUAAAGCGCACGUAGGCGGACUAUUAAGUCAGGGGUGAAAUCCCGGGGCUCAACCCCGGAACUGCCUUUGAUACUGGUAGUCUCGAGUCCGGAAGAGGUGAGUGGAAUUCCGAGUGUAGAGGUGAAAUUCGUAGAUAUUCGGAGGAACACCAGUGGCGAAGGCGGCUCACUGGUCCGGUACUGACGCUGAGGUGCGAAAGCGUGGGGAGCAAACAGG